CAGCAGCCACGGGAAUACGAGGGGGGCAAGCGUUGUUCGGAAUUAUUGAGCGUAAAGGGUGCGUAGGCGGUUUGGCAAGUCUUGUGUGAAAUCUUCGGGCUCAACCCGAAGCCUGCACGAGAAACUGCCGGGCUUGAGUAUUGGAGAGGUGAGUGGAAUUUCCGGUGUAGCGGUGAAAUGCGUAGAUAUCGGAAGGAACACCUGUGGCGAAAGCGGCUCACUGGACAAUAACUGACGCUGAUGCACGAAAGCUAGGGGAGCAAGCAGGAUUAGAGACCCCUGUAGUCCCUGUCUCUUAUAC
rnacentral:rRNA from 1 species